rnacentral:rRNA from 1 species
UACGUAGGUGACAAGCGUUGUCCGGAAUUAUUGGGCGUAAAGAGCUCGUAGGCGGUUUGUCGCGUCUGCCGUGAAAGUCCGGGGCUCAACUCCGGAUCUGCGGUGGGUACGGGCAGACUAGAGUGAUGUAGGGGAGACUGGAAUUCCUGGUGUAGCGGUGAAAUGCGCAGAUAUCAGGAGGAACACCGAUGGCGAAGGCAGGUCUCUGGGCAUUAACUGACGCUGAGGAGCGAAAGCAUGGGGAGCGAACAGG